rnacentral:rRNA from 1 species
UACGGAGGGGGCUAGCGUUGUUCGGAAUUACUGGGCGUAAAGCGCACGUAGGCGGCUUGGUAAGUUAGAGGUGAAAGCCUGGAGCUCAACUCCAGAAUUGCCUUUAAGACUGCCGAGCUAGCAGGUGAGAGAGGUGAGUGGAAUUCCGAGUGUAGAGGUGAAAUUCGUAGAUAUUCGGAAGAACACCAGUGGCGAAGGCGGCUCACUGGCCCGGUACUGACGCUCAGGUGCGAAAGCGUGGGGAGCAAACAGG